rnacentral:rRNA from 1 species
GAUUGAACGCUGGCGGCAUGCUUUACACAUGCAAGUCGAACGGGCUGAGGGGGCAACCCUUCAGUCAGUGGCGGACGGGUGAGUAAUGCAUCGGAACGUGUCCCGUAGUGGGGGAUAACCCGGCGAAAGCCGGACUAAUACCGCAUAUGCUCUACGGAGGAAAGCGGGGGACCUGAAAAGGGCCUCGCGCUAUGGGAGCGGCCGAUGUCCGAUUAGCUUGUUGGUGGGGUAAUGGCCACCAAGGCGACGAUCGGUAGCUGGUCUGAGAGGAUGAUCAGCCACACUGGGACUGAGACACGGCCCAGACUCCUACGGGAGGCAGCAGUGGGGAAUUUUGGAC